rnacentral:lncRNA from 1 species
GCGGGCAUCAGGUGGAGUAUAACAUGUUCUCCAGGUCCAAGUGUGAAAAUUCACAGCAUGAACCCUCUCUCACUAUUACCUAUUUCCACUUUUUGCAGGCUACCAAGACGAGAACCUUAGUUCUGAUUUCAUAAAAAAUGAUAAUAUCCAAGUAACUUCAUGCAGUGUUGAAAAAUCAAGCAUAAUCAUUAAUGCAGUAAUAGAUGUAUGAAACAUUUUUGUUGUUUGUUUUGCAGGCAUAAGAACGUGUAGAGUUGGACCAAAAUGUUAGUAAUGGUAAAACUGUGUUUCUUGGAAGCAAGAAAUUCGUC